rnacentral:tRNA from 1 species
AAAAAUUUAGUUAAACUAUAACAUUAGCUUGUCAAGCUAAAAUUAUUAAAAAAAUUAAUAAUUUUUA